AUUAACCUGUCAGUGUCUUGCUGCCGCACCUUGUUGUCAGUUGCCGUAAAUUGUGCCAGUGGCGACCGGUCGCGACACACCGUAAAGCAGACACAAACACUAAACUAUGGAUUUUGGCGGAGAUAAUGGAAAGUACAGCAAAGAAGAGGAGAUGCAGCUUCAACAAAGACUGGGAAACUACAUAUCACUGGGUGAAGCCGGUGCAAGGUGAUUCUCAGAGAGUUUUCUGUCAAGUUUGCCAGAGUUCGUUUUCCGUUUCAUACGGUGGGAAUACGACGUGAAGCGACACAGUACAUGCAAGACCCCCUCUCAGCUUUGUCUUCUCCAGAACAUCCCAAAGGUUCUCAGUGGUUCUGAGGUCUGGACUCUGUGGAGGACAAUCCAUCUCAUGCUCCCUGAUCCACUCAUUCUCAAUGUGAGCCCAUGAAUCCUGGCAUCAUCAUCUAGGAACAUGAAGAAAACCUCCACUGAUGGAAAGACCUGGUCAUUCAGUAUCUUCAGGUAUCAGCUGACCUCAUUCUUUGGGAACAUAAUGUUGGUGAACCUGACCAACCCCAGAUCAUAACCCUAACCCCUACUAGCCAUGAUGAGGGCAUCACUUCAUCUGCCUCUCUUCUUACCCUGAUGCCCCCAUCACUCUGGAACAGGGUAAAUCUGGACUCAUCAGACCACAUUAGUUCCUGGAAGAUGAUGGUUCUCCACCAUUCUUCAGGUUUUAAUAAUGCGUUGCAUGGUUCUUAACCUGAUUUUAGUCGUUUCAUCUCCUUAGUUAUUUUCUUUGCUUGAUGUAGGCCAGUAAUGUGACCCUUCUGAGACAGAUUAACAUCCUUUCCAUGACCCACAGGAUAUGUCUUUAACAUGGUUGUUUCAGAAAUGAGAAGCUCCUCACUGUACCAGCUAGGGUUAAAUAGGGUGUUUCAUCACUGCAGUAAUUAUCCAAUGGGGGGAUCUGACCUAUUUGCUUCGUUAAAUGCAGGUGGAGACUUUUAUUUUUUGAACAGGCAGUGUGUUAUCAGUGAAAAAGAGCUUGGGGUAGUACUACAAAUAUCACAAUUUCUUUAAAAGUAUAAAAGGUAACUUCAAAAUUUAAAUGGAAUGAUAUCAAAAACAUGUUCUUUGAUGAAUAGCUGGAGAAUGAAAUGAUAAAAACUUUUCAUUACAAAUAUAUUUCAAGAAAACGACCUCACCGUGUCAUUUUUGACCCACAUAUGCAUCUAGGGGUUAAAUAAAUGAGAGCUUACUUAAUGAGAGGAUGGGAGUAAACGCCAGUUUACACCUGGUGUCAACAUCUGGAUCUGGAAAUCUUAUCUGGAUAAUGACAUGGAUCCACCCAUGUGUGCUCCUACAUCUGGUGUUAACAUGCUAUCUCUGAUCCAGGUAACAUUUCCAGACACAGAUCACGUGUUCAUAGCAGGUGUAUAAAUUGCAUUAUACAGUAAGCAUAAAUCGUGGAUGUACAACUACUUUUGGAUUCCAUGUUUGCUCUGCAAGCAUGCAAAACUAAUUUUAAAGAACCUCUGAUAAAAAUCGAGGCCCUGAAUUUGUUUCACCAGAUGAACUUACUCAUUAUUGUUUUCUUCACCAACUACCACAUGCUCUUAUUCGUGUGUCAGAGACAACUCGGCAACUGGCAAACAUUUAAAGAGCCCCUCCAGUGGAAGAACAGUUUUUACAUCCCCAUAUGGAGGUUUCCUUUAUAUGCUAAAUAAACAGUGAACACCACGGCUGAACAUUUCUACCUUCAAGCUCCAGAGUACCGAUGCCACUCUGAAAAGCCAGACUCUGAUUCUGGGGUUUUAUAUAUAAUAAUUGUAAGGAACUUAUCUUGUCUUACUUGGUCUUUCUGGCUCAUCCCUGUACGGCUGAGUUGGUCCAUCAUUACAGCUUGGCAUUAUGUCGCGUAGAGUAGUUUAACAGUGUUUGAAUGGAGUCCAAUGUUAGCUGGAGGCAGAAACAGCAGUGGAGAGUUACAUGUAAGCUACUUUCAGGUACUGCAGGAUUAUUUUCUUGGGAAAACACUUCUAAAUAUGUAAGUUUAAUACUCAGAGAUGACUUCUGAGACGUCAAAGACCAGAGAGACUUUCAGUGAAUGUUAUUUGUGAUUGUUGUCAUUUAUUUUUUGAACUUUUUGGUUUUUUAUAGUGUAUGUGUAAGUAUUGAGAGUGCGAUGUAUAAUGAUAGCUAAUAGGUGCUGAAAUACAUGAUUAUUUUGGCCCUAAGGCCUCCCAGGAGGUUAAUCCAUCCAUGAUGAUGGUGAUUGUUAUCCCUAUAGAGGAAAAAUCAUCCAGAAAUGAUGUUCCCACACAGCUGAACUGAAACACGUACAUUUUCUCCCAGUAAAGUAACAUUUUCUGAUGUAAGUUUCCAGUUUUAAAGAGCCACAAAGUCCACAUUAGGAGGUAGGAUGGGGGGAGGUGGCAUAAGUCUGGCCCAGUUUGUGUCCAAAGUGACACCAUUAUUCUUAGACCUGGCUAGAGGUGUAGCCACUAAAACCAGUUGAUUAGACCAUCUCACCACCUGCUUGAAGGUGGUCUUCCAUUGUCUGGGUUACCAUGGUGACGAGCCCCGUUCCAUCUAAUAUAGCGUAUGAUUAGUUGGCUGAAAAGGAGUGAAGGUAGAAAGCAAUACUUGAUUAUUAAUGGCCAAGAUGCUGUUGGAGAUGAGAAAAUGAGAAAAUAUUUUUCCCUCAAAAUGCAACUGAGAAUACUUUCUUUGUUUGUAUUGGGACAGGAUUUUUGAGAGAUAAAUGUCCAAAGAAUAAUAUGUUAAACCAGGUAAGGUGAUACUCAUAUCAGUCUGUAUGAAGUCACAACGUAUUUUCCUUUUUACUGUAUUGUAGUUAUGAUGUGUUUGGUGAUUUGUACAUAUAGUUUUCUGCAAGUAGCAUAUUUGCAUAUUAGCAAGAGCCUAUUGCUGAACCUGCUGCAGCGUCUCCUUUGAAUCAAGUCAGAUAUCAGUCUGCUGUAUAUUCAGUGAUGCUGUUCUAAAGGCAGGAACAAGACUCUGCUCACACACCACUGUUACAUUUCUCUCUCACAAAUUCAUAUUUAUGUAGAAGCAAAAGAUAACUGUCUUAGAUAACAGGUCAGGAUGCACAAUUAGAUUUUAAACAAUAAGUCUACUGAUUCUGUCUUUAUUAAUGUCAGCAAAUCAUGACAAGAAAAGACUAAAAUGACACAGAAGUUAAUCAAAUUAGUUUAAUCAAAUUCACUUCAUAACAAUUUAUUCUAAUUAUAUGAAAUUAAAACCCAUCAGCCACACAAUAGUCCCCAAUAAAUGCCUUCAGUAACUGUGUCCAGCUAUUUUAGGAAUUAUUUAAUUUUAGUCAUGAGGCAUUAAAAAAACUAACUAUAUAACCAUAAACCCUUUUAAAAUAUUUGCAUCUAUGGUCUGAGGCUGAGAGCCACAAACAGAGCAGGACACUGAGGAAAUAGUGAGAGAACUAAUUGGUCUUUUCAUGGGAUUUGUUAACGGAAAAACAUAUAGAAUGAUGUCAGUCAUAAGAUUUAAUAUAUAUUUCUAAGCUGAAACCAUCAAACCUUGACUUUCUCUUCUUUCUCCACAAGCAGCAUCACUCUGCAAGCAGCGGUUGAAUAUUUCGUUAGCUAAUAGACGGCUGUGUAGUAAAAUUAUAUGCUUUCAAGAAAUGCUAGAUGUGUGGAGAGCUGCUUCCACAGCAUCAGGACAAGACUACCAGAGUCUAGUCAAUGUGAAUUAUUGUAAGACACACUGCACAGUCUUCCAGAGAAGAUUCAGUACAUUCAUAAUGUUAUUAAGCUAAGAUUUGCUAAUUAACAGGUGAGGAAUGUUGUUCCCUUUGCUGGUUUUUGACCCAGGAAGUAGCUGAAAUCUACUGAUCCAUAAGCACCUGUUUUCUGCUCUCAGUAGAUUUAUACGUCACUGCACCAGUCUUCUCUCUCCUGUGGAUGGUGUUUGUCCUCUCUGUCCUUCUUGUACCUCUCUGCGCCACCAACCUGCACAAUGUUUAGUAUUUGUUGUUUCUCAAAGCUUUUCUCUCACACCAGCUAGUUCAGGAAGAUGCUUCAAUCAUUCAUCCUGCUUUGUUCAGUUAAAUUAAAAUUUGUCCUCCAACACCAA